AGGGGAGUGCUCCUACCUCGAUGCCAGUGUGUCACAUGGCGAGCCUUUUCUCUUGUGUGAGUCUGGGUUGGCAGGAUCAGAUGAACUGUCCCCAAGGCCACUCAUGUUGAAAAACUUCACACCUAAAAAGGAAAGGUCCUUCUCUGAAGACCAAAGAUUGUCAUACCCUCAUUGUAUAAAUGUUCCCAAAAUUUUAAUCAUGAAACUAUGUCAUGUAACUAGAAAGCCACAUUUCAAAUUUUUUCCAUUUUAGAAGAGCUGCUUAUAAAAGCUUUUAACAC